UUUUUAAAUGUAAAGGGAGAUGUAUUUUUUUAAGUUUAUUUAUUUAUUUAGAGAGGGCACAAGCAAGGGAGGGGCAGAGAGAGAGAGAGAGAGAGAGAGAUUGAGGCUCACAAGCAGGCUCCACACUGUCAGUGCAGAGCCUGAUGCGGGAUUCGAACCUGCAACCCAUGAGAUCAUGACCUGAGCCAAAAUCAAGAGUGGGAUGCUUAAGUCACUGAGCAAUCCAGGCACCCCAAGGAGAUGUAUUUUUGCUCAAUUGCUUCAUUUCAUUUCUUUUCUUUCUUCCCCUUUCUUUCUUUCACUUGGGUUCACAGGCCAUCUACUGCAGUCUCUUCCUUGUGUCAGAGUUUAAUCAUCUUUCCCAUAUUUUGGCCUCAACAUGUCCCCAGAUGGAGGAGGGUUUGGAGAGUCCUGCCUCAUUCUGCACAGUGGGUCUCUGGCCUUGGGUGGCAGAUCUUGCCUUCAUUCCUUCUUUCAACGGACACCCUUGCUGCCUCUCUUUCUCUCCACCCCGCUGUCCACACGCAGCUGGAAUGACCCUCCUUUACAUUAAGUCGGAGCAUGCCUGGCCUCCCCCUCCCCAGCUGUUUAGUAGCUUACCUCUAGCCCGAGGAGAAAAUCCCACACUCUGUUCUGUGGGCUGCAAGUUUCUAAUGCGUCUUCUCAUUGGCAGCAUUCUCUUUCUGCGUCAUACCCAGAUUCAUUACUGCCUGGAGACCUUUUUACCUGCGGUUCUCUGGGGCUUGGAAUGCAUCUCCCCUAGAUCUUAAUGCCCUUGUGUCUUCGUCAGACAGACAUUUCCUGAUCGCCCCUCUGUGUUGCCUCACCCUGUCCUCAUUGACUUGCUCAGUGGCCCCGUGCCUGGCACUAUUCCAAGUAUUUGCAUUAACUCACUGAAUUCUCACCACAGCCGUGUGAGGUCAAGCCUACUGUCCUUCCUGUUUUAGAAAUCAAGAUAUUGAGGAAUGCUCUAGGCUCAACAGUGCGUAGUGAAACUGGGGUUUCGAACUCAGGAGGCCGCCUGGCUCCUGCUUCCUUUGAUUCUGCUUUGGUGUUUUGCUGGAUGACUAACAUUUGCCUCGUUUAUCUAGUUGUUUGGGUUUUUGUUGCUGUUUGUUUGCUUACUUACUGUCUCCUUCAGAAUGUAAGCCUCAUGACAGGUGGGAUCUUACACGUCUUGUUCACUGUCGUAUCCCAGCACCUCGAAUUACCACAUAGUUGGUGCUUGGAAAAGGUUGGGGGCACGAAGGACCUCUGCAGACGGGUCCUUCCCCUUACGUGUCUGCAGCACUUGGUGGAACCCUCCGUGGCUGUGCUUACAACAUGUCUGGUCUGUUACCAGUGUCCCCCACCUCUGGUACUCCAGACCCCGCGUUCCUCUAACGUGGGGUCGUGUUAUUUCUGAGGAGGCCUCAUGGCCCAGCGCAGUGCCAGGUACACAGAGUGUACCCAGGAAAUGUUUAUUGUAUUCACGGCCUCUGGAUACUGCUUUUAGAGGCUGUAAAAUAAAAACCUUAACAUUCUUGCCGGAAAAAUGCAGGUUUGGGGGCAGAUGCCCACUUCUCAAAAGAUUUCACAGUGUCUUCACACUUUGAAGAGAAACAGACACUGUCUUUGGGCAACUGAGUGACUAAUUUUUCAUUAUUACUAACAAUGGCUAACAUUAGCACCGCAGUUUAUAAGUGACAAGGUCCGUAAUUUCAUUUGAAGAUGAAAUGUAUAUUCAUGACUCACGACUAUGGUCUUUCAACACGAAAUUUGCCGUUGGUAGAAUGAAGAAGCUCAGAGAGGUUAAGUCACUAACACAGGUCACACAGCGAGUGGGAGACAAAGCUGGGAUUUUAUUUACUCAUUCAACAGACAUCUGUGGAGCACCCUCCACGUGCCUUGUAUAGGCCAGGUGUGGAGGAUGUGGCAGGGAGAAAAGUGACCGAGGGUGUUGCUUUCAAGGAGGGUACCUUUUAAGCAGGGGAAGGUAGACGCUGGGCAGGUGUACGGAGAAGUGACAAGUAGGUGAAGACGCCGCACCAGGGAUCUGUGUUAGAGAAUGAUCUGGGGUGCAGCACUUACAAGGCGGGAGUUCGGGGAGGCCCCUCUGGGGAGGUGACAUUUGAGCAGAGACUGGAGGAUGAGAGGGAGCAGGCAGGGGAGAGGCAGGGGAACAGCUUUCUGGCAGAGAGAACAGGCCCUUUCUGUUCCCUUAUGUGACCUGCCGAGGAGGAAGGACCCGUUCUUGUGUGCUGGGGCGUCAAGGGACCCUCUUAGUCAUUCAUCUGCUACAGCCUUCACUCCAGACCAGGUGUCUCCUUGUCUGGCUGAUUGCCGUUCUCUCUGCUUGGAUGUGCCCUGUGACGGGGAGCUCAUUCCUCUGCCGAUGCCACUUUACCCUCUAUGGACUUCUGUGUGGUAAACAUUUUCGGCCCCUUUGUCUAUUUCUUGGCGUCACCUCAAGUGCCACUUGGUCCUCGUUUCCCCAUUGUCAGCAUUCUAACAGAACGGCCACUUCGGAAUCGCUCUUCUCUCCUCCGGGACCUCUCUGAUUCCUGCUUGGUUUCCACCCUCCUUUUGGGGAUUUCUUAACCUCCUUCUGUUCACACCCGCCCUUCACGUGAACACACUCUCUCUCCUCUAACCUCUCUGGCAGCCCCAUCUUCUUGGAGCCAGGACGGAUGAGCUACUUCUCAGCUGCUGGCUGGGGCAUCUUCUUUGAGUCGACCAGCCCACAUUCUUUCCAGGGUCUGGAUUCUGGAAAUUCUGGAUUCUGCCAUUCCUUCUUCCUCAGGGCCUCCCCUCAGGGCCUGCUUGGAAGGCAUGUAUAUUCUUUGCUGAGUUUUCAGCUGUGGGUCAAAUGUCACUUCUUCGGGGGCAUCUUUCUUCCUCUUCCUACCCUGUGCUUCCCCUUAACACUUGCAGCAAUGAUAAUUAAGUGAUUAUUGUAUGUACCUAUUUGAUCCACGUGUCUCUUCCAUCACACGGAGCACCCCGAGAAGAUGGAGAGAGGACUCAUAUCCCCAGUUGCUAGAACAGGGCUUGACAUGGAGUAGGUGCCCGUAAAUAUUUGUUGACUAAGUCAGUGGAUAAGAGGGUCAAAAUUGGUAUGAGAUCAUUCAUUCAAUGGGUGUCACUGAGAGCCACCCCUUUGCAGCAAGAUCCUGUGUAUGUAACGAUUGGUAGUGAGAUUCUUGUCUCCUGGUCUGAGUCAGUGACUGCAAAACAAUUUCUCAACUGGACAAAGGGAAAGCUGUAGGUGACUGCCGGACCCUCCAUAUACCUCCCCCCAUGUCAUGUCUAGAAGUGAGAGGCGCCCUUGUUACUGUUUUCUGAUCAGCCUUUUGUGCUGUCCUGCCCUGUCCCUUCCAGAUAAAGCAAAGGCAUUUUCUUUCUUUUUUUUCAUUUGAAAGAGGGAAAGAGAGGGAGAGAGGCACAGGGAGAGAGAGAGAGAGAGAGAGAGAGAGAGAGAGAGAGAGAGAGAGAGAGAAUCUUAAGCAGGCUCCAUGCUCAGUGUGGAGACAGACACGGGACUCAAUCCCAUAAUCCUGAGAUCAUGACCUGAGCUGGAAUUGAGUCAGAUGCCCAACUGACUGAGCCACCCAGGGGCCCCACAAAGGCAUUUUCUAAUAGGAACCUCUAAUAUCUUAAAGAGGAAAGUAGUAUUUUUGACUGUUGACUGUAUAUGCCAGGCGCUGUGUUAGUGCUUUACGUAAUUAAUUAACAUGAUUUUUUUUUAAGAUUAAAAAUUUUUUUAAUAUCCAUUUAUUUUUGAGAGGGAGAGAGACAGAGCGCAAGUGGGGGAGGGGCAGAGAGAGAGACACAGAAUCCAAAGUAGGCUCCAGGCUCCGAGGCAGCUGUCCGCACAGAGCCCGAUGCAGGGCUCGAACCCACGAACUGUGAGAUCAUGCCCUGAGCCAAAGUCGGACACUGAACCGACUGAGCCACCCAGGCACCCGUAGGUAAUUACAUAAUUAAUCACCUCUUUGAUUCUUUCUAACAGUUCAACCCUCCCAUCAAUGUGGGUGGGGAGAAGCAGGCUCCGCCCAGUUGAAUACUUGGUUCGAGGAGUAACAGCCACUGUUUGAGAGCAGUUUUGUGGCUUCAAAAGCUCCCAUCCCUGGGGCGCCUGAGUGGCUCAGUCGGUUGAGCACCCGACUCUUGAUUUCAGCUCAGGUCAUGAUCUCAACAGUUUGCGGGUUCAAACCCCGCAUCGGGCUCUGCACUGACAGUGCAGAGCCUGCUGGGGAUUCUUUUCCUCCCCUCUGUCUGCCCCCCUCCCACUCACACUGCCUGUGUCUCUCUCGAAAAUAAAUAAACAUUAAAACAACAACCACCACCACCUCCCAUCCCUUACAGGGUGGUGGGGAAGACCUUCCCUGAGGUUUGGGAGGUUCUCUUUCUCGCUCCCUCCCACCGUCUCUUGCCUCUGCGAUCUCUAAUUUACUCAGACCCUUCCUAUCUUGAAGAUCAGUGAGGGCUCCAGAAGUUCCCCACAGGAGGGGCUGCGCAACAGGGAUCUGGUCUGGAAGCUGUGUUUGUACCAUAGAGGCCAUGUAUUCACUGAGGCACACUUACUAGGGGAAGGCACUCCGGAGCUUGUGAAGGGGCUGCUCCCUAAGACGUCUCUUUGGCAAAACUGAUGAGCACCCAGACGGAACGAAACUGGAAGAAGAGGAAGGGACGAGUGAACAACCAUUGAUUUCUUGAAUGCUGCCUCUGUGCGAGCAUCUUGUGUGUUUCGAUCAUUCUAGACUGUGAGGGAAAGAGUUGUCAGGGAUCCGUGGUGUGCUCCGGGAUCUCAACUAGAUGUAGGCCUUAGAGCCUCGCUAUAUGGUGAGUCCACACAGGGAGUUGAGCUUUCUCACAACAUGGCGGCCCCGGGGCAGUCAGACGACAUACAAGGGGGCCAAAGAUGUCCGGAACAGGUAUUCUGACUAACAAGCUGGCAGCGGCAUGGCCCUCUACAACCCGGUCUCAGAAGUCAGGCGGCCCUUCUGUUGGUUACCAGUGAGUCACAGGCGCAAGGUUCUAGAAGAGCGCGUGGAGUGAGAGACGUUGUCGUGACCGUCUGAGGAGCCUAAAAUCUGCUACAGAUGCACCUGGCCUUUUCUAAGAGUAACCAGUUGGUUGUCUGCAAAGCUGUGACUGAAGAGUUUAGGACAGAGCAAAAGCCAGAGUUUCGGAGGAAGUCUGGUCGGGAGGAGGCCUGGGCUGUGCUCGUGGUUUAUCAAGGGAAAUCUGCUCAGAGGAGUGAAUGAACUUGUGGGAAGGGGAGAGUCACAGAGCCAGAGGCCUGGCGUUGUCCAGGGCACGCGUUCUUGGCCACACUGGCCUGAGCAGCAGCCACCGCCCCCCCGCCAUGUCCCUGGGCAAGGCCGUCCCCUCAAGCCGCCUCUGCUGAGAAAUGCUUCUUCUGAAUAAUGCCGGCGCUUUUUCCAGCGCGCAUCCACCUGCACCUCCUCGUGUGCCUUCUGUGAACCACCACGGGGGUUAUCACCCCACUUUCUAGAUGAGAAGGCCGAGGUGCAGUGAGGAGGCACGUUUUGCCCGCGGUCAGGCCGCCGGUAAAGGUGCAGUUGGAACAGCGGUCCAGGUGUGUGUGCAAACCGCAAACCUCUUCAUGAAGGUCGGGGCACGUACCUGAUGGCAAACCCGUCGGACGGUGUGCUGGGAGGAAGGGAAGCCUUGAGUCACCAGCUCACGCCAGCCUCCUAAGAGCCCUGUGGCUCCAACAAAUUCGUAAAAAUAGAAAACUUGGAGGGAUUAAAGCCCCAAAGGACGCUUCAAGUCCCCCGCGGGAAAGGGAGGCUUGCCGUAUGUUCUGAUGGUCUGCAUUCAAAUUUAUUUUUUUUUAUCUCAGCUGGAUGUACACUCACCCAUCACAGGAUCAGCUCUCAGAAUAGAGAGGUACCUGUUGAAUCAUCCACCCCACUUCCUGCCUCGUGCGGGCAUCUCUCCAAGUGCUGAGCCAUCCGCUUCUCUGCUGGGGCCUGAGAUAUAUCAGGAUUUGCAGCCCUGGUGACAGGAGACAAAAUAGACUCCCAUUUCCUUUGGAACCAUUUAGCUAGUUGAGAGAGUGCUUGAUUGUUUCAAUGGGAUGAGCAGUGAGCAAUAACCAGGUCUCUCCCUGGCUUCUUCUCUCUGCCCUGUGCUUGCUCUUCUUCCGGAAGCUGGGAGGUGGUGGGGACAAAGGCACACACUGGUUUUGGCUCAGUCUGGCUCUUGAGCUAAUAGGUGCCCCUCCCGGGACCUCAGGCCCACUUUCUGCAACACAGACGUCGUUCUCUUUCCUUCUGCCCGUCUUGGCUCCCGCUGGCCUUAGGACUAGAAACUGUGCCUGGUGGGUGCCUGGAGAGACUUGUUGGGGCUAAGUGACUGCAGGUGAUAUUUAAGGAGGUCUCAUGGGAGAUACGGUUUCAAGGCAAUGAAAACAGACAUCCGUGGGGACAGACUGUCUGAAUUUGAAUCCAGGUCACCGCUAGCUUCAUGGCCUUGGGCAAGUCAGGCAACUGAGUCUCGGCUUCCUUGUCUGUUAAAUGGGUGGAAUCAGAGGAAGUAGGUAGUGAGAAUUAAGUCAGAUAAUAUGUACAGUGCUUGAAAGAGUGCCUUAAUCCAGGCCAGCUGGAUUAGCAUGGUCACCAGAAGCCUGUGGGGCUUUGACUGGAGCGAUCGAUGGCCACUUGUGGGGACCCCGGCCCUGAGUUGGCCACUCAGAGUUCAGAGAGAGAACCAGUCAUGAGCUCAAGUAACUCAAAGUCUAGUGGGAAAACAGAUGUGGCUGAUGCAGGGGUGCAAUACCUAUCAAGUGCUUAACGAAAUACGUUUUGAGUAGACCUUUAAAAAGCAGAUUUCACAUGGAAAUCCAGAUUUGUGGCUUCUCUUAUGAUCUAGCAACACUGGGUUGGCUUUCCUGCACGGUGAUAAGAAGCCGGAGCAGAAUAAGUGUUGUAGCCUACGCCAGGUACUUUGCCCCAGUCCCCACUCUUCCCUCCUGCAUCCUGUCCGCCCAUAUUCAUGUUCAGUUGUGCUUGCUGCCUGGCCCUUUGGGAAUUUGCAGACAGAUUACAAUGCAAUGCUGUGAAUGCACCGGGAGCACGAUGAGGGAUAAUAACUCAUCCGUGGGCAGUCGGGAAGAGCUUCCCAAAGGAGCCGAAGUCCCAGUUGCCUCUCUGUAAUACCCGCCAGUGCUGCAGAACAUCCUUGUCUUUAUGGCUCAAGGAUGUGAAUAGAGGACACAAAGUCCUCCGAGCUGGCGGGAUCUCUUCCAUAAAGCAACCAAGGCUCAGUGGCUUGUGUGGUCAUACAGCCAGCUCGUGGCACAUCCAGGCUGUCAAUCAGAAGCAGCCGUGGGCCUCGGGAGUCUGUAAUUUGUACUCUGGAAUCUUGAUUCCCUCUCUGCCACCCUCCUGCAUCGUGGCCAUGGGUAACUCAUUUCAUCUUCAACCUCGGUUUCUUCAUCUGUAGGGUAGGGCUGGGGAUUCUGACCUCAAGGGAGUGCUCUGGGGCCAGAUAGUGAGAAAAUGGGUAGGGGACACUCAUAAGCUCCGAAGCGCUCUAGGCCUGUGAGAGGCAUCACGAUGGUGGAGAAAUAGCCACCUUCUUCGAACAGAUUUGGCGCAUCUUUGCGAUGUUACGGGGACCUUGUCCCCCACCUGCUUUUGCCAUUGUCUCUCCUUUGCAUGUAGGAGCGUGCACAGCCUUCUUCUAGGCGUGGACCCAGAAAGGGAACGUUUUGGGAUUCUCUGGCCUUGGCUGUGAACAGGACUCCAGGCGCAGAGCCCAAGGGCUCCCCUCUUUCACGAGGCUCCCACAUCAAAAGGAGAUGCUGAGAUAGAGCUGGGAAGGAAGCUGACCUCCCUGGGCAAAAGAGGAGAAAUGUCGGUAGUUACUUUGUUUCCUUUAAGACACCUGCCGCUGGGCAUCAGGGGCUACCUUCAAAUUCCCGUUUAGUGCCUGGAACUAUUGAGACAACGUGGCAUUGUGGUCGACUACUGGAUUUGGGAGUCCCGCUGUCCUGAGUGCAAAUAUUGACUCCUCCUUAUUAGCUGAGUGUGCCUUUGGACAAAACUUUAAACUUCUCUAAACCUCAAUGUCUUCAUCUGCAAAAUGGGCUUCUUAAAAGUACCUGUUUUUUUUAGGGCUUUGUAGGAGUUAAAUGACAUUAUGUAGUGAAGGGUUUAGCAUAUAGUGAACAGCUUAAUGCCAGAUAUGAAUUGCUGUUAUUGCAAAUGGUAAUAAGAAACGUACAUCAUGUUUGUACAGCGUUUUACCGUUUAGGAACUGGUCGUGUUCUCCUUAGCCCAUUUGACAUUCCCAACAACUCUUUGAGGUGGUCAGGGCAGGGAUUAUGACCUCGUUGCACAGGUGAGAAAACCGGAGCCCAGGGACGGCAGAAGUCUGCUCAAGGUCACACAGCUUGUGAGUGGUAGAGCCAAGCUCAAGUCCCCUUGGAUGAAGGAUGAGCAGUGUCAUUCGCAGGGCCGGGCCAGACCACCUGCACGUGCCGUCGGACUGCUCCUCGGGCACUCUGGUUCUUCCAAAGACCCGUUUAUAGAGAAAUAAUCCCGUGGGUUUACCUAUUUAAACCCUUGUCGUACCUAUUUAUACGCCGAGCCUGUACCAGCUCCGGGGGCGAAGAAACUUGUCCUUGUGCCCUGGUGUCAGACUGGCUUUCUUGGCAUCUGUCCCCAAAUGACCUCCGCGGGGGUUUCCAGCUGCCCCCUCGCACCCUGAUCCAUUUACCAGAAUAGCCGUGUGUUCUGAGUUCUGGCCACAGGAUGGCGCUGCUCCCCAAGGCAUGAAAUGUCCAGCCCCUCACCCGGACUGCAUUUCCAGGAGUUACAGGAGGUUGGGACCGCGUCUCUCUUGAUUACCACCAUCUCCAGCAUCGAGCACAGAACAGCAUGUAAUGGGAGCUGAAUGAAUGAAUGACUGGAAAGCAUCAGGAUGGUCCUCUAAUGCCUCUGGGAAUCAGGCUGGGGCAUCACCAGGAAGGAGAAAGGAGGAUUGGAAGCAUCUCUGUCAUCCAUCCAGUGAAAUUAGGAGCUGGCGGCUGUGGUUCUAUUGAUCACCACUCUCCCCUCCCAACCUCCGGGACACUUGUACCCAGGAUGGACAAGGCAGGGAUACGAGACUUAGCAACGACUUGGAGAUGGAUGGGGACCCGGAGGCCACCUCAUGUGGCCUCCAUCCUGGCAGCGCCCUUGAGGAGGGGCCCUGGUGGACACUCUCUCCAAUGUGCCCCAAGGUCAUGUCAGUGGGGGCCAGUUUCAACGUGUAUCAGUGGUGUGAACUUCAGUCUCUAAGCCCACAAUUCAGUAGAAAAACACUGCAAAGUAAACAUCUCUUCAAGGAAGAAGUGGCAGGAUAUUGAAGGGUUGGGGCUCUGGGAACCUCACCGCCGGGAUCUACAUUCCAGCUGUGUCAUCUUGGACUGAUGAACACAGCUCAGCCUCAGUUUCCUGAUCUGUAAAAUGGGAAUGAUAAUGAUAGUUCCUUCCUGGGAGUUAUUAUGGGGAUCGUUGCAAUAACAAGGGGGGAGCCCUUAGAACACUGCCACGUCCAGAGUGCUAACAUGGUACGUGUUGACCGUUAUGAUUAAGACUUGGUGGAACCCCGCCGAAGCAAAGGCUGGAGUGAGAUGACAAGGGCCCAGAAAAAUCGCCAGCCUCCCUAAAUCCCUCUUUCUGCUCUCUGAGGACUCAAAUGCCUUCGCCAGGGAGCAGUACCUUUCACUGCGUGGCAACAGAGAAGCUUGUGGCAGAGUAAAGAGAGCCAGGCCUCUGCAAUGGGCAGCCUGUGGGACUCUCAGCAAUCACCCAGCCAUGGGUAAUUACCUACCCUCGCUGCACUUCUGUUUCCUCACUUGCCGGACCGGGACCCCCGUCUCCACAAGAGAGGGCUGCAGAGCCCAGAGAGGGGAGGAUCCGACUCUUUGAUCUCUGCUGGAUCUCCGGCACCCGGCACAGUGCCUGGCUGGGUGUAGAUAGUAGUUUUUGAAUGAACAAGUGCAGAGUGUGUCCAGGGAUUAACAUUGUGAAAAUGGGCCUGGUCCAUUGUAGGUGUUUGAUAAAGGGAGACUUCAAAUGCAGGAUUCUUGUAACAAGACCAGAGCUGGAAGAUUUCCUGAAGUGGGGGAAAGAAAAGCUCUCCCUGCCUGGCUGGAAUUGCUGUGUGUAUGAUGCCCUGCAGAGAGAGAGAAGAGAGCAGGCUGGAUGCCUUCCAAAAAUCAGAAGGGAAGCUGAUUCCUGCUUGGGAGGGUGUUAAAAUCUUAAGGGCAAGGCCAACAGACCGAGGGGAGAAAGUGAAGGAGAGAGAGAAAUGUGUGAGCAUCUUUUCCAUUUUUUUUUUUUUUUCUGUUUUCUUACAGCCAAAUGCCUGGAAACCUGCGGCAUCCGGCAAUUCCCUGGCCUUGGCGUAUAGUAAGCACUCAGGAAACAGUUGAGCCACUUGGAGCUUUAUGAUGUUUUAGGACUCCUCAAGUGCAUGCGUUUAUGACAGAAUAGUUCCUGUAAGGAGAAUGUCGGUGCUCCUACCCGAGCAUGAGGGCGCGUCACGAGGGGGAGGACGUUUGUUUGCUCUGCUCACCAUUGCAGCCCCGCGCGGGGCACAGCGCCUGGCACAGAGAAGUGCCGGACAGCGACUGUGGAUGAUGGGGGCCGCACCAUGUGGCACGACCCUCGUGGCGAGAUGACCGUGGAGCCGAGGCUUCUGGUUCCAGAAUAUCAAGCUGGCGCAGAGAUCUCUGGGACCCUAAUGAAGCAGGCAGAUGGUGAAAUCCUGGUAUGGUUCUGGUGCCCGGGGGCACAAAGCAAUUCUCAAAUUCUUGUCCUCUUCCAACUGCUCUCAGUGCCCACGGCCCUACAGAGAUUCAUGCCAGGGACUGGCAUGGACUUUGUGCCUGCGGGGAAUGAGCCCAUAGACUUGUCAUUUCUAGGGGGCCGUCCAGAUGUCCCGCUUGGGCUGUCAUAUCACAUUCAUACCCAGGGCCUACCGUGUGCCAGACCCCGCCCAGGUACUGGGUACCCGGCCAGUGGCCAAAGCAGGAAUGUUCUGCCCUCAUGGAGCUUCCCGAUCUACGGAGGACGCUGACAGUGAGCAAAGCAGAGCUGAUAAUCACAGCUGGGAUAGUGCCACAGAGGAAGUGGUCAAGCGCGUGGCUUUGCCAGAGAGGAGCUCCUGUCGGAAGAGGAAAUACCACCCUGCCCAUGCUUUCGUUCCAGCCCAUUCUCACUCUCUGUCUGGGAAAAUCACAAGGAAACUCCACGUUUUGCUCCUGGAAUUCUUGCCAGCGUGAUUCAAGCCGAAUGGAGCACAUGGCACCGAGUUCCCACACAAACAAAGACGUUGCCACUUUCAGUGCGGUGGCUUCCUUCCUUCUGCCAGCCUGGGCCCCCCCGUCUUGCCCAGGCAAGAGGGGCAGAGUGCACGCGGCCCGGUUCUCACCUACAAGGCCCCCCAUGUGUUCUCAUCUGGAAAAUGGAGAUGGUCACAGUACAAGAUGAUUAGAGGAUUAAGGGAGACAUAGUGAACGUGCCGUGCAGCGCUCGGUAGACAGUGGGCACUCAAUAACUGCUGGCCACGAUGCUGAUGCCCUGUGUCGGUGUUAGCACAUGUUCUCGGAGCUCAGGCCUUCGUGGGGCCGUGCGUUCCUCGGCUAUAAGCCCCGUGACCGUGAAAUCAAUCACUUUCGUGCUCGGCGCUCCCAGGCGCUGCGUGUGAGAGCAGGAUUGCGUGGAGGCUCCCGUCCAAAUCCAGUGUUGAGAAAUGGAACAGGGAGCUGGGCGGACACAUCGAUUAGGCACAUUCCUGGCUCGAGUGUGGCUCUCUCCAGUCCCCUCCCUGCAGGCUGGCGAGCAAAAUUCAGGUGCUGACCUCCUGAGAACACCCCUUAGGCUGAAACCUAUUGCCCCCUUUGUCAGAGAUUAUGUGAUCUCCAGGGAAGAAGAGGUGUGGCAUCUCACCUCUGCCACUUCUGAACUGAGUGACUUGGGACAGAGGACUCUCCCGUGCCUAUGAUGCCCUCGUCUACGAAUGGGGUUGAUAACUGCCCUCCACGAAGGAUGUCGGGGGGGCUCGGCACCGACUCGAGUGUCAGGGGUUUGGCCGGGGUCUGUGCUUAAGAGCAGCUGCCCCUUCACCAGUGAUGCUGCUGUCCCCAAAUCUCUAAAUUUUAACUAGGGUCCCCCUUGUGAAGGCCUGGGUUAUCCCCACUGGAAACCUGUUUUGGGAACUAGCCCCCCUGCAUGUCACCGAGGGAAAUGGGCGUCAAAACUGAUGGCCCCCCUAGGUGGGGGGGAGACCUGGCCCAGACCUUGUCACAGGAUGAGCACCUCUGGGAUGAGAGGCCAAGUGGCCUAAUGGGCCGGGGACUCAGACUGGCUGGAUUUGAGCAGUGUUUCCACGCUCACUCCCAGUGGGGCCUUGACAAGUUCCUUAACUGUUCUGAGCCUCGGUUUCUUCACCUGAAAAAUGGGUGUGAUGAUAUCCCUCUUUGUGAGACCAGAGAAUUAAUGGCAGCUUAUUAAUUAUAUUCUAAGGCACUAUUCUAAGCCACCCUGUGAGGUCAUCACAUCUAUAAAUAGCCUCACCUGACAGUUGGAGAAACUGAGGCACAGAGCGGUCACUAACUUGCUCAGGGCCACUGGUUCAUCCCAUUUCCUGGCGUGGUCCCUGCUCCUUCCUCUGCUCUCCUCACAUUUCCCCAAACUCGCCAGGCGAACCCACGCCUCUUGGCCUCUGUGUUCCUUCUGCCUGCAGUGACUGUUUCCCCACCUCUGCCUGACUCAAUCUGGUGUGUCCUUCAAGGCCCAGUUCAAGUGUCUCCUCCUCCAGGAAGCCCUCCUGCCAGGGCACUAGAGGUAGGUGAUCCUGUAGCCUGGCAUCCCCUUGACGCAGGCUCACACCCCCUGCACAGUUACAAUGGAUUCAAUCUCCAGAGCACUUUCUUUCUCCCGGGCACGUGCAAGGCCGUCCGUGCCCCCUCUGCAGUGGGGUUGGUCUUUUCUCCACCUCGUGGCUGGGGAGACGGGAGCUGAACUCAGGUUCGCUCUCCAGGAGGCAGCUGGGAACGCAUCCCUUUUAACUCGGCUCUGUUCUGGGACCCUGGCCUAGGUGUGUCUAUGGCCCCGGGGCCCUACACCACGUGGCGAUUCAAACAAUAGCUGUUGAAUGAAUCCUGAGCCCUCAGGAUGUGUCUCGAGAAUAAUAAUAGCUAAAAACCAAAAAGACCUCAAUCAAGUUCCCAGGUUCCCAGGUUCCCAUCCCCCCGGCUGGUUCAGGCAAGUCCUGAUCGGAACAGAAGCCCCGCGAGAGCAGACCCCUGGGUGCAUCUGUCAGCACAUGCCUAUUCCAGGGUCUGGCUGGAGGAAGUGCUCAGAACGUACGAAGUGACAGGGAGAUGUAUUUCCCCCUCGCGGGUGACAUCUUGGAUGGCCCUGCUCUCUGUGGACCCAGUCUGCUUUUGGGGCCCCUAAAUCUGAAGGUCUUUGGUUUCGGCCAAGGGGUACGUAGAGGAAAGAGUGAUCCCUGCACGCCCCCAAAUCAGAGAAAUUGGAGGUUUGAUGAGUGCUUCACGCACACAGAGAAAUGACAAAGCGAUAUAAGAGUGAGAGCCUUCAGAAUACCCAUCUUCUCCAGCAUCCUGCGUUUUUUUCUUUUUAGAGCAAAGCCCUGUAAUAUUAAUAAACGGCGGCGAGAAGGGAAAAGUGACUGUUUCCUUUUGACAUGGCGAAGAUCACAGGGCCUGGAGGACCUUUAAUCUUUAUUAAUGUGUCUCAGGGGGGCCUCUCCCACAAGCUGUGGGAAGCAGACAUGCAACGAGUUUGCUUGCUCGCAGUCCUCAGCAUCCCUGGGUGCCUCAGAUGACUGCCUGAUACUGUUCAGAGUGCAGCAAAGCCACGUCACGGGGACCCGCUGUGUCCCAGGCAAGAACAAGGCAGCCCUAACCCAGCUCCCAUCUGUGGGGGGCUGGAUGACAAGGGAAAUUCAGGACACGGGCCUCAGUCACAUGGGCCCGCUUCUAACCAAGGGCACCGAUGCCCUGAAGAGGCUCAGAAGGAACCAGGCUGUCAGUUGCAGGGACGAGCACAAAUCAUGCCUAGGAGGGGCCACACCUGAGUCCAUUAAGGAGCACGUCCAAUAACCGACACCCUCAUUUCCAAGGGCUCUCCUCUGCACUGCCUGGCCAACCGCUUCUUUCCCACCCCUCCUUCCCUCUGGCUGGGCUGUGCACCAGGAGGCCAAAAAGGUCUGUAACUGGACACCGUGCAGACCUAAUUCCACAGACCUAGUGAGUCAGGAAUUGCAAGGCGGGUUCGGAGCCCACAACAGAAUUGAAAAGUGUUAUAGUAAGGAUAGAAGAGCCAAGAAAGUUGCAGGGUCUCUCUGUCUCUCUCUCUCCUUCUCUCUCUCUCUCUCUCUCUCUCUCUCUCUCACACACACACACACACACACACACACGUGCGCGCAUGCGGAGAAACCGAGUGGCAUAUUUUGACAUUCAUUCAUUCAAAAAUUCUGAAAACCACUCGGUGCUAAGCACUAUUCUGGGCAGUGGGGAUCCAGUGAUGGGAAGGACCGCCAAAGUUCCUGUUCCCCCAGAGCUUACGUUCAUCCCAGUGUUCUUGGGGGGAGUUUCUCCAGUGGCCAGGAUGGCGCAGGUUAAUCUCAAAAGCCACGUUACAAGACAGAGGGGGCGGGCACCAUUUGCACCCUCACUUUCCGGACACGGGAUCUAAGCUCAGGUCAGAGGCCAGCCUGUCUGAGGCCACCCGCUAGGGUGGGGGACCAGGAUGGGAGCUUGGUUUCCAGGCCUUUUCUCUUCCUACUUACUGCUCAGAGGCCGCGAAGAAGCCCGAGCUGAGAGGCCGGUGCUAUCUGGGAGGAAGAACCCGGUGAAGUGUGCUCAAAUAAAGCAUCACCUAAUUCGAUUAUGUUUGCUAGACUGCAGUGUAAUAAAAUGGAGUUCCUCAUAAGCAUCAUCUCCUAAUGUUUACAGAACAAGAAAGCAGAAUUAAGAUAGGAAUUUCCAGGGAGAAAAGCAUGUGUUUUAGGCUGAAACGUAAAGAGAAUAGACCCGGAAGAAAUCGAUUCCUGAUUUUACAACUCAGCUCGGAUGAGGGGGUACACUGGGCGGCUGGCUCCUUGGGGAGGGCCUGGCGGAUGCCCCCAGGUGGCUGCUGGGGGUGGAGGUUCCCACUGGAAGGACCCCAGGACGGGGCAGAGGGGCCAGUGGGAGGAGACGCCUUAUCGGGAAGAAGUGUUGGCAAAGAGAAGCCUUGGGGACCUGCUGGGUUUGUUCCAAACGCCUCCUUGCUCCUGUCCUCCCAGCGCCCACCAUCACAUGCAGACAGAGUGAUUUUUCUAGUAAGAGUAGAGCCUGGUGAUGAGCAUGUGGGCCCUGGGGCUGCCUACGUUCGAAGCCUGGUGUGC